UUCCUUCAUCUCUUUUUUGUUUUUUUAUUUUGGUUCCCUUUCUUGUUUCAUCCCAUAUCUUUCCUUCCUUCUCUGUGAUAUUGAGUUUUCUAGUCUACGGGCAAUGUUGUUGCAGGCUGAAUACAAUUGCCAUCCGCAGUUUUACAUGCUGUAGGGAAUCUGGCAAAAGAAUAAGCAUGACCUUAUCUCACUUUCUUUUUCUGUUUUGCCAAAAUUGUUGAAGAUUUCAAGAAGCAGCGAAAAGCACUUCAAUCGAAAAAAGAUCAGGUGCAAGAUGAUGUCGAUGAGGCUGUAAGGCAAACUGAGGUAAUUAAGAAGGACGUUAAGGAGUGGCUAACAAAGGCAGAGAUAGAAUUGGGAGAAGCUCAGAGUUUGGAAGAAGAAAUAGAGCGUAACAAGUAUUUCAAUUGGUGUCCUAGUUGGGGCUGGCGAUACUGCAUAAGUAUCAAAGAUGCAAAGAAGACGCUUUAUAUCUCUCAACUUUUAUGUGUUAUUCUUUAUGUGAGGAAAAUGAGGCACAAGUACUAUCAAAUUUAACUUGUUUGGAGCUUGAGUCAUUACCAAAAUUGAGAUGCAUAUGGAGAGGAUCUGCCCAUUUUGUUAAUCUCCGAAGUCUUAACGACUAUGAGAAUUUGGUCAUGUUCUAAGCUUGUAUAUCUCUUUUUGCCUGCCCUUACUCAAUCUAUGAAGCAUCUGGAAGAACUCCAUAUAGAGAAAACCGACUCUUUAGAGCAUUUAAUCAUAGAAACAGAAAAUGGGGAUGAAAUAGUUUCAAUUAUGGAUUGCUAUUCUCUAUGCUGGCCAAGAUUGAAAUCUCUUCAGACAGCUAGUUGCAAAAGCUUGAAAUAUGUGUUUCCAAUCACUUUGGCUCAAGGACUUCCGUACUUGGAAUCGGUUCAGAUAAUUGAUUGCCCUCAAUUAAUGCAUGUCUCCAACAUGGGAAAAGAAAAGGAUGGGCACCGUAUUGUGCUCCCUCAAUAACAGAUUUAAACACUUGAAAACUUGAAAAACUUGAGGAGCUUUUGUCCAAGAAAUUAUUCUGCCAUGUUACCAUCUUCGAAAGAUUUUGACCCUUGCAAUAUUAGUCCCCAACCCCAAUUAAUGACUCAUUCCCAAGAUCCACAAAGACUUACGUCGCAGUCUCAGUUGAAGGAGUUAUACCUCUCUGACUUGGGAAAGGACUGUGAGCAACAUGGUUUUUCUCUGUGUUUAGUUGACUUGCAGCUGGUUGAUCUUUGCUUCUCUUUUACAAUGUUUAGUUGAUUUGUAAUGUCUACUUGCAUGUCUGAGUCAGACAUCAACAAAUUUCCCCAUGGUUUUCCAUGCUUGUAAAACGCUGGGAGAAAAAGUAACAAAUCUUCACCCUGAGACAUCAGAUCACAUAGCCCCUCAAUUGUGAAACAAACUUGUUAGAUUUGGCAACUGCAUUCCUUACUCCCAUCUUUGCUUACAAACCAAUGGCAAUUGGAAGAAGAAAAAUAUAAAGUCCUUGAAGUU